GUUGGGCAACUUUGUAACAAACAUAUUAGAUGAUGCAACGGGGCACAGGCUUCUGAAAGGCACACGUGGUCUCAACUGUGGCACCUUGGAAACAGCCUACGAACUCAAAGCUGUCUCAUUCACCGCCAGUCAAAACACCCUGGGACAUCCUGGGGCCCAGAGUAUCCUGCAAGGCUCAUGUGUGACCUCCUGGGAAGCAGGUGGCUAUUGAGCUUGGCAGUCUCUCCCCAGGAUGCGGCAGAGGGGCUCACCUUGGUGCGCCAAGAAGAGCAGCUGAGCUGUGCUGAGUUGGGUCUGUCUCCAUCCAGUAUUUGUGGUAACCACAGGCUUCGGGAUAGUCUGCUUCUACCUGGGCACAGCUGUGGAAACUUCCUCGGGCCUUAGAUUUUGCAUCGUUAGGGAUCCGCACCCAGGCAGGCCCAGUCCUUGACACUAUCUGAUCCAGAGAGCUGCCUUGUGGGGAUGCAGACCUUCUACAAACAGGCACACUAUGCACCAGGCACCCAGCACAGUCACCCUGGCGCUCCACUCUCAAAAACAAAAGAAGGAUGGAGACCCACUGGACACAUAAAAAAGACCAGAAAUACGAGAAAGAAGUAGGAGAACAACCAACCUCAUAGGGAAAAUAAAUAUUUCAGAAAGCAGAAGAUAAUUCCUCAAAAUAUUAACCAGUGUCUUCAGAGGAAUGAAGGUCUGAGGCCUAUAAUGAAAAGGAAAUAAAUAAAUAAAUAAAUAAAUAAAUAAUUGCUGUCAAAAAGGAAUCACACGGUAAAGAUAGAAGCUUAGAAAUUAAACAGGAUGAUUUAAAUCAAAAUUUUAAUUAAGCUGAGCCAGGUGGUACACACCCUUAAUCCCAACCCUCAAGAGGCAGAGACGGGUGGAUCUUUGUGAGUUUGAAGCCAGCUUGGUCUACAUAGGGAGUUUUAGGUCAGCUAGAGCUACAUAGUGAAAUAUUUUCUCAAAAAAAAAAUGGAGUGAGAGGGAGCUGGAGAGAGAUUUCUCAUUGGUUAAGACUAUUUGCUGCUCUUCACAUGCCUGAAUUUAAUUCCCAAAACCACAGGACAAUUAAUAGCUGUCUGUAACUCCAGUCCCAGGGGAGCGAACCCCUUCUUCUGGACUGUCUGAGUAGCAGGAAGGCACAUGGUGCACAGACAAAACACCCAUAUACAAAACAAAAACCUAAAAUCAUUAGAGCUGGAGAGGUGGCUUAGCAGUUAAGAGCAUAUACUCCUCUUGCCAAGGGCUCAAGUUCAAUUCCCAGCACCUGCAUCAGGAAGCUCACAACCUCCUAUAAUCCCUGCUCCUGGGGAACUAACCCUCUCCUCUGUCCUCCUUCUGUAGGUCUCAUGCACUCACGUGCAUGCCCCACUGCCACAGACACAUACACAUAGUUAGAAAGUACAUUUAUUUUUGCAAUAAAAUAAUCUUAAAAUUCAAAAUUGUCAGCCGGGCAAUGAUGGCACACACCUUUAAUCCCAGCAUUUGGGAGGCAGAAGCAGGUGGAUUUCUGAGUGUGAGGCCAGCCUGGUCUACAGAGUGAGUUCCAGGAUAACCAGGGCUACACAGCGAAACCCUGUUUUGAAAAACAAACAAACAAACAAAAAAUUCAAAACAAAAAAUUGUCAAUAAAACAAAGCCGGGAUGCAUCCUAGAGUUUAGAAUGAAAAUAGGAAGAAACUAAAAAAUGUAAGUGAAAAACACAGUCGCAAUAAGUCAACCCAGAAUGUCAGGUGCUUGAUUGUUUUGCAGCAAUAAGCACAGAAUACUCAGAAAAGAAUAUAAUCUCAGAAACAAUGGAAGAUCCUGGCAUAAGGUCUUAAAGGAUCACAAGUGUCUGUCCGAAGAGAGCUAGUGACUACCACUCUGAAUUGAUAACACAUUGUCUGUAUUUAGACAUAGCCACAUGAAAAUUGAGAAUACAAAAAUAAAAUGAAAGUUAAAAAGAUACCCAAGUUCCCAGAGAGAAGAAAUAAAAGUGAGAGCUUCUCAGAAGGCUCUAGAAGACAAUGGCACUAGACCUUUUGGGGUGUAGAAGAUAAAUUCUGUGAAUGAGUGAUUUAAAUGGUUAGAACCAAGCAUCCGGGUGGGAGCGCAUGCCUGCACUCUCAGAGGUCAGCAAGCGGGUACAGACAGAUCAUAACCUUGAAGGCCUGGGCUACACAGUGAGUUCAAGGCCAGCCUGGUUUGAAUAAUGAGACUCUGCUUCGAAAAAUAAGAAAAAAAGGGAAUGGGGUGUCAGGAAUAGCAAAUGAAGACAUUCUACAGCUUUUUAUAGAGUUUCCUAGGAAGUUCAAUAGCAAAGCAAGGAGAUAAAAGACCCAUGCUGAAUCCAAGGACCAAUGGAUGUAGCCCAAUAGUUAAUGACAGAUGAUGCAUCGGGGGUAAGGCCUCCAGAGCAGUGGGACAAGCUUAGAUCGUGAGUCCUAGAGGCUCUGAGAUGGAUGCUGUCAGGCAGGGAAAUGCAGUGUAGUAGAACACCUGAUCAGACAGCCCCAGUCUAGAACACAGAAACUUCUGGAAACAUUCUGAGGAUUUGAAAUUGGACAACUACUCUAAAUGCUAAAACCACCUCUGGUUUCUGGUCCAGCACACGAGGAUCUCAGAAGACAUCAUUCUUGCCACUGUAAGACAAAAUCUGGAAGUGUGACGAAAGGAUGGACCAUCUAGUGAUUGCCAUAUCCAGAGAUCCAUCCCAUGAUCAGCUUCCAAACGCUGACACCAUUGUAUACACUAGCAAGAUAUUGCUGAAAGGACCC
rnacentral:lncRNA from 1 species